UUUGUCUGAAAAGUGAAGGGAACUCGGUGAGAGCGAGUCUUCAGCGAUGGUCACUGCAGGUGGAUAUCACCCACAAUGCACUGCAGUUCUGCAUUUGGUGCAAGAAAAUGUAAACAUCCAUGGUUCGGUGGCAGUAAUGAGGGGAAGUGGAGCUACUAAUGAAACGCAGCAUCACUUACUGAUGACGUGCUGCACAGCUGUACUACCUGUCAAACCGAGUAGGACGGACGUCCACAGAACCCCUUAUUGAAGAACCAUUUCCAAACCUUCGUGUCUUUCAAAGAUAGAUAAGAAACUCUCUUACAGCCUACAACAGUCUUACAUAUACAAGAGGCCUGUAUUCAUUUACAUAUGGACAUUGUUUAACAUAGCCGAUUAUUAGUGUUGUUGAUUUUAAUCAUCGUUUAAUAUUCCUUUUAAAUCUUCUAAUGUAUGUUUGGAUCAGUGUUAUUUGUUGUGACUGCAUUGGAUUGUAUUUACAUGCAUUAUUGUUAUUUGCACAAUAACACAACACAAUGUGUGUGUGUCGACUGUGUGUAAAAUAAAUAACAAACGCUGCUUUGCAGUGAAAUGAUCCUGUA